ACUUGCACGUCGAUCUACGGAUUAUCGCAACAAAUAUCAACUGUAUUUCUGUAUAUUUUCAUCAUUCAUUCCAUCCCUAGCAUGUCAAGAUACAUCUAGUCCUUCACCUCGAUUCCAAAGAAGUUGUUCCAUUUGAACAAUGGAGCUGUCAUCUGUCUUCAGGCUCUCCCAGGGCCUCUGAGGCCGCAAGGGAGCUUUGAUCUGUUAACCGAGUGCUAAAUGCAAUUUCAUAGCCCCAAACGGAGCCUCGCUGCGCCCUAACACACCCACAUCAUGUGAUAUGACUAUUUUGGUGUUAAAACAGCAAUUAUCCUGUGAAGCGUCUGAGCUUGCUGAGAUAACUCUCGCGUAGAUAGUUUAGUAAUGAAUAACAACGUUAUCCUCCUACAUUGACCGAAAAUGAACGCUUCCAGUUUCAAAAUUUUCGCAUUAGGCUAUAACUGUCUAUUUUGAUAAAUAUGUCAAUUUUCAACGUUCUCAUCUAUUGGCUAAUUCCUAUAUAGCUUUAAAUACAAAGUUGACUGAGUUUUACUCCAAAUACGGUAUCGUGACUGCUGCAGGGGAAUGGAUGGAAAGGAAUCCCUACAGUGAAGCGUUCGACGACAAUUCGACAGACUGGAUACAUCACUGAGCCUGUCGAAGUGUCCUGCGCCAGGGUCAAGCCCCGCUGCUAUUCAUUAUUCAUGUGUGCAUAGAGGUGCUCGUCCCCAAGAGCUCUGCAGUGAAUGGAAUAUUUCCAGUGUUUGGGGUACUGAGAAUGGGAUCUCUGUGUUGUACAUAAUGAGUUCUCAAUAGGAUGAACCUCAAUAUUGUGGAAGCGUAUAUGAGAAGCUUCUGUUCAUUUAUCCCUUAUCGAUUCUUGGGUCCGUGGGAAUGGUCCGUAUCAAAGAAACUUGACAAGACACUACUACGUCUGAGACUUACAAUGAUCACUCUUUUGCAUUAAAUCACAUUUGUAUACUAUGACUAUGGUUUUCGAAAGCUCAGGGUAUGGCCUAUGGAUCGGUCUUAUUGACAUAGACAGGAAGCGAAUGGCAUUGCUAUUGCAUAUCCUAAAAAGAAAAAGGC
rnacentral:sRNA from 1 species